rnacentral:lncRNA from 1 species
UUGAAGAACACAGCCCAGGCCUUUUAUAGGGUCACCACGUUCCUCAGGUGAUUCCAGUGUUGGCCAAACUUGAGAACCGCUGCUCUAGCGUCUGCCGCUCAAGACCAGAAGGGAGAAACAAGCAGGGAAUGGAGCAUUGUGGAGGAAGCCUGUCUGCAAUCCUCCGAAGCAUGGAAUUAGAUCAUCAUUAUCUACUCAAAGAGCUCCUUGGCAUGGGAUAGCAGCCAGGCCUGAAAUUGCUUCGCCUGCCCCCGCAUCCUCCUUGAGUUUCUCCAACUGGUAUGUCACCAUCUUGCCUUCAGACAGUUUGCCCUCUGGAUUUCAAGCUCUAGGAUCAGAUGCGAAGACAAUAGCCUUAAUGAGACUGCUUAAUUGCGUAAGAGAAACUAAUGUCCACAGAAUAUCAAGAAACCGAAGCUUCCCAGGGCCAACUCCUUGGCUUCCUGACGUCAGAGUGUACCCUCCACCAUGGAGAGAAACAGCCAAGGACACUCACCCAAGAAAUCCUUUGUCUCCUCUGGAAGCAGCCCCAGACACAGGCUGAUGGGAAAAUGCUGACCAAGAAGGCCACUGCCCUUGUCCCCUACCUAAAACCCCCAAUAAAAACUCCUACCCGUUUCUUAACAGGGAGAAAGCAACUUUUUUGGGGCACUGGGCUUUUGCUUUUCUCCCUCUGCCUGGCAAAGUAAAGCCUUUCCUUUUUCUCCCAAGACUCUCGUCUCGUUACUUGGAUUGGCUUUGAGAUCAGAGACUGAACUUUCGGUAACACUAUUUGGAAACCCAGCCCAAGGAGAUUCUGUUAUUUUCAAGAAGUGGUUCCUGAAAUCUCUCUGGGCAACA